AGUUAAACGUCCAUAUAUCUUGGUAGUACUCCAGGUUGUGCAAUACUAGGUUUAUAAAACAUCAUAUUUAAAUGUAAAUGUAACACUGGCCAAAACCUUUUGAAUCUAAGCUCAUUAAAACUUAUGGAUGUUAUAUAAAGUGAAUCCAGAUCAUACGUGUAUUUCAACGCCUGUUUUGAACUAUGAACUAAUAAACUAACAGGUGAAAACACAUUUCUAGAAAAUUUAGAACUUUUAAAGUUUAUGCGAAACUAACUACUCCCUUAUCUCUUAGACCAAGUCCUCCUUUGAUGUGUCCUCGCCUUGCUCCUGGACGAGGAUGAUAGCUUCAACACGAAUGAGAGUCUGUUUAUAUCUUCAACAUGAAUGAGAACCUGCCCUCGGAGUACCUCCCUGCUGAGCAACAAUAUCUCUACCUCCUCUCGGAGAAGUCCCGUCGGAAGUAACUGUGCUUCUCUAAACCGGGACUGCUGCUCUCGAGCAGACAAAGAUCCCAUCUACAUCUCUACUUCCUCUCGGAGAAGUAUCCUCGCCUCUUCUCGGAGAAGUAUCCUCGCCUUCUCUCGGAGAAACUCCUCACCUCCUCUCGGAGAAGUCCCGUCAGAAGCAUUUGUGUUUCUCUAAACCGGGACUGCUGCUUUCGAGCAGAUAAAGGUGAAAAACUAUUAUGGAGCUAUCCUCAAGAGUUAGAUCAAUGUUAACCUAAUCUUAUUUAGAUCCCAUCACUAUCCGUACCUCCUCUCGGAGAAGCAUCCGUUCCUCCUCUCGGAGAAGUCCCGUCGGAAGCAUCUGUGUUUCUCUAAACUGGGACUGCUGCUUUCGAGCAGAUAAAGGUAUACAAUCAAGUUUCGUGUGAUCUCUGUGAACAAUUAAAGACAAAAGUGUGACUAUCUCCUCUAACACAUGAUAAGCCUUUAUAUAAACUCUUCUUAUUAUUUCUAGUUAUGUGUAAGAGAUAGCUGGUAACAAUCAUCCAACUCUAGAGCUAUUAAAUUCUCCGGCCUAAUCAACUUUUUCACGGGUCCUAGCUCUGUAUCGCUGUACCAGAAAUAAAGAAUAUAAGAGA